rnacentral:rRNA from 1 species
AAUGAACGUUGGCGGCGUGGAUUAGGCAUGCAAGUCGUACGGUAAGCUUCGGCUUAUAGUGGCGAAAGGGAGAGUAACGCGUGGUUACAUGCCCUCGGGACCGGGAUAGCGGCGGGAAACUGCCGGUAAUACCGGAUAAUAUCUUUGGAUCAAAGGUGUGAUUCCGCCCGAGGAUUGGACCGCGUUCUAUUAGCUUGUUGGCGGGGUAAUGGCCCACCAAGGCGACGAUGGAUACCAGGUGUGAGAGCAUGGCCCGGCGCACUGGGACUGGGACACUGCCCAGACACCUACGGGUGGCUGCAGUCGAGAAUCUUCGGCAAUGGGGGCAACCCUGACCGAGCGACGCCGCGUGCGGGACGAAGGCCUUCGGGUUGUAAACCGCUGUCAGUUGGGAGGAAGUGCCGGGGGGUUCUCCCCUCGGUUUGACCGAUCUUCAGAGGAAGGACGGGCUAAGUUCGUGCCAGCAGCCGCAGUAA